CAGGGAAAGAGUGCCUUGAGCACCUUAAGCGUUCCCAUUCCCAGGUUCUGGUGGAACAGGAGUAAUGGAUCUCUGGUUUCAUCAUGCUGAAAUAUCAGAGCUAGGAUGAAACAAACAAAGAUCCAAAGUUCCAAAUACAUCACUUUUGACAAUGAAGAACCAGAAAUAGCACAUUGCUAUUUCCUGGCACCCCAAGGAACCACCUCCAACAUCGUGUAUGGAGCCUGAGCCACCAAAGCAGGACUCCAUGGCCACUUUGAACAGAAAUACCUUUGGACACCUCUAGUUGUCUGCUGUCUGCUUAUUUUUAUUUGAUGAGGACAGUGUGAACUGAGACUCUGGACCUGAAUGUUACUUUCCCUUUGUCUAGCCAGCAAUCAAAUAAUUAUAUUAGAAAUGUAUCUUUGAUACUAAAACUAAACUAUAUCUGUG
rnacentral:lncRNA from 1 species